GUUCUUGAAGUGUAGUUAGCACAUUAGGUUUUCAUCCUAAAGGUAUAAAAGAAGUUUAUCUAGAACA
rnacentral:tRNA from 1 species